rnacentral:rRNA from 1 species
UACGGAGGGUGCAAACGUUGCUCGGAAUCAUUGGGCGUAAAGCGCACGUAGGCGGUUCGGUAAGUCGGGUGUGAAAGCCCUCGGCUCAACUGAGGAAGUGCAUUCGAAACUACCGGACUUGAGUAUGGAAGAGGGUCGCGGAAUUCCCGGUGUAGAGGUGAAAUUCGUAGAUAUCGGGAGGAACACCAGUGGCGAAGGCGGCGACCUGGGCCAAUAUUGACGCUAAUGUGCGAAAGCGUGGGGAGCAAACAGG